CUCGUUGAAACACCUGUUCCCGUACGAUCACCGAAAUUAAGCAUCGUCGAGCCUGGUCAGUACCUAGAUGGGUGACCGCUUGGGAAUACCAGUAAGCUGUAAG